UACGGAGGAGGCAAGCGUUAUCCGGAAUUAUUGGGCGUAAAGCGUCCGUAGAUGGUUUUGUCAGUCUGCUGUCAAAGCACAGGGCUUAACCCUGUAAAGGCAGUGGAAACUACAAGACUAGAGUGCAGUAGGGGCAGAGGGAAUUCCCAGUGUAGCGGUGAAAUGCGUAGAGAUCGGCAGGAACACCCAGGGGGAAACCAGUCGACUGGGCAUCUACUGACGCUGAGGUGCGAGAGCGUGGGGAGCGAACCGG
rnacentral:rRNA from 1 species